rnacentral:tRNA from 1 species
CAGUAAAUAGUUUAAUGAAAAAUAUUAAUUUUGGAGAUUAAAGAUAAGUCAGACUUUUUACUGA